UUAAUAAUCCCAAUUUAGUAACCCCAAAACUAUACAUGUGCAAGGCUGAACAUAUAUCAGAAGUUCUCAGGUUUAAAAAUGCUAUCUAUUAAUAUUUAUUUGUUUAUUUUAUUUUAUUUUUUAUUUUUUGUAAUGAUGACGUGCAUUUUUUGUAAACUGUCUUUUUAAAAGUAGGUAGCACAAAAAAAAAAAAAAAAAAAAGUAGGUAGCGCAUCAAGCCAGUAGAUGGCAGUGAGAUCUGCACUGGCAGUAUGGCAGCGUACAGUAAGAAAUGACUCUCCUGUGCAUCAGUUUAUGGCUGUACUUGUUGUUAUCGUUCGGUGGAUCUGGUAUUAAAGCUGCUGGGAAAUGAGGACAUUACAGUUAGUGUUGGAUUCCUCUUGAAAUGUUGUAGCUGAAGCACAAGCCCAAGAGAGGACACGAUGCCAGUCGCUAGGGCAGCUGCAACUUCGUCCAUACCAGCCGAGGAGGUCUAAUAACGUUUCACGGUCCUGGUCAGCUGGUGUGUUAUCCCGUCCUCAACCUGGGCUGCUUUAGGAAGAGUGUGAGAUGGUAUGUGUGUGAACUGGAAAGGACGGUGAUCAAGACCUGCGGUCAGUUUGGGAUCGAAGCCUCCACUUCUCCGGAUACAGGAGUCUGGGCGGGCGACAACAAAAUUUGUGCAAUUGGUAUUCAUUGUGGAAGAUACAUCACCUCCCAUGGACUGGCUCUUAACUGCAACACAGACAUGAGUUGGUUUGAUAACAUUGUGCCAUGUGGGAUUAUGGGUAAAGGUGUGACGUCACUGAGCUGAGAGCUGGGACGGGACGUCCCAACUGAGGAAGCCGUACCAAAACUGCUGGAAGCCUUUACUGAACAGUUUAACUGCACUUUAAUAUAUAAUUAAUACAUAAAUGAUAUAAAUAAAGUGUUUGAAUUUCAAG